rnacentral:rRNA from 1 species
UGGGGAAUAUUGCACAAUGGGCGCAAGCCUGAUGCAGCAACGCCGCGUGAGGGAUGACGGCCUUCGGGUUGUAAACCUCUUUUAGCAGGGAAGAAGCGAAAGUGACGGUACCUGCAGAAAAAGCACCGGCUAACUACGUGCCAGCAGCCGCGGUAAUACGUAGGGUGCAAGCGUUGUCCGGAAUUAUUGGGCGUAAAGAGCUCGUAGGCGGUCUGUCGCGUCUGCUGUGAAAUCCCGAGGCUCAACCUCGGGCCUGCAGUGGGUACGGGCAGACUAGAGUGCGGUAGGGGAGAAUGGAACUCCUGGUGUAGCGGUGGAAUGCGCAGAUAUCAGGAAGAACACCGAUGGCGAAGGCAGUUCUCUGGGCCGUAACUGACGCUGAGGAGCGAAAGCGUGGGGAGCGAACAGGAUUAGAUACCCUGGUAGUCCACGCCGUAAACGUUGGGCGCUAGAUGUGGGGCACCAUUCCACGGUUUCCGUGUCGCAGCUAACGCAUUAAGCGCCCCGCCUGGGGCAGUACGGCCGCAAGGCUAAAACUCAAAUGAAUUGACGGGGUCAU